AUAAAGCAGGACAAAGGAUAAAAAAAUCUUACUUUAACCGCACACGUUAUCCAACUUUGGAUAAUAAAUAUUUUCAAUAUAUUCCAGGCGCUUAUUUAUAGAAAUAUUACAUAAAUUUAACAAGAGGUGAAUUCUGGGGAAGUACAUUGCAUUUUCUGCAUAAAAAGGUCCACAAAAUUUUUCGCCUCGCUCUGCUCGGCAAACCUCAACUGCCUCCCCUUAUAGGGAAG
rnacentral:lncRNA from 1 species